rnacentral:rRNA from 1 species
GACGAACGCUGGCGGCGUGCUUAACACAUGCAAGUCGAGCGGUAAGGCCCUUUCGGGGGUACACGAGCGGCGAACGGGUGAGUAACACGUGGGUGACCUGCCCUCAGCUCUGGGAUAAGCCCGGGAAACUGGGUCUAAUACUGGAUAUGACUCCAUGACGCAUGUUGUGGGGUGGAAAGCCUUGUGCGGCUGAGGAUGGGCCCGCGGCCUAUCAGCUUGUUGGUGGGGUGAUGGCCUACCAAGGCGACGACGGGUAGCCGGCCUGAGAGGGCGACCGGCCACACUGGGACUGAGACACGGUCCAGACUCCUACGGGAGGCAGCAGUGGGGAAUAUUGACAAUGGGCGAAAGCCUGAUCCAGCAACGCCGCGUGGAGGAUGAAGGCCUUCGGGUUGUAAACUCCUGUCGGGUGGGACGAAAAGGCUUCGGCGAAUACCCGGAGCCUCUGACGGUACCACCAGAGGAAGCCCCGGCUAACUCCGUGCCAGCAGCCGCGGUAAUACGGAGGGUGCAAGCGUUAAUCGGAAUUACUGGGCGUAAAGCGCACGCAGGCGGUUUGUUAAGUCAGAUGUGAAAUCCCCGGGCUCAACCUGGGAACUGCAUCUGAUACUGGCAAGCUUGAGUCUCGUAGAGGGGGGUAGAAUUCCAGGU